rnacentral:rRNA from 1 species
CGGAACGGGUGAGUAAUGCGUGACCAACCUGCCCCAUGCUCCAGAAUAGCUCUUGGAAACGGGUGGUAAUGCUGGAUGCUCCAACUUGACGCAUGUCUUGUUGGGAAAGUGUUUAGUGGCAUGGGAUGGGGUCGCGUCCUAUCAGCUUGUAGGCGGGGUAAUGGCCCACCUAGGCUUCGACGGGUAGCCGGCCUGAGAGGGCGGACGGCCACAUUGGGACUGAGAUACGGCCCAGACUCCUACGGGAGGCAGCAGCU